GAUAAAUACAUUUUGGCUCUCUCAGCCUGCCGGACCCCUGGCAUGAAUCAAGGAGAAGUAGCUCAGGAGGCUCCCAUGGUACUUAAAACAGUUCACGCUUGGAACAUUCAGCCCAUGGUUCAUUGUACAACUUUCUGAUAACACGCAGUGGCCAGACUUCUGCUUCUCGACCAUAGAAACCUAUCCCUCAAGGUCCAGAACCAAGCAGUCUCCUCUCCUGACCAGCCUCUAUUUUCCAUCAAAAUCUCUGCCCACACCCUUCAAUUUUUGAACUAGGAGGCUGUGAUAGGACCAUAGAAGCUUUGAAUAUAAACACAUCUACUUGUAUGAUUUAUCAGCUGCGGGGAAAAAAUGAAGACUCCUUUAGUAUUUGGAUCAGAAUCCACCAAAGUAUUUAUUUCAAACAGGCGUAAAUGGAGGAAGCUAAUACCAGUGACUGACCUCCAGGAAAUUGAUCCCCCACUGACAGUGGUGCUGGGAGUUGGGGCUGCUAAACCUUCACAGCUGCCCCCUUCUCCAAAGAAUUGCCCUCAGCCCAAAGAGAGCCACUGCACCCGGGAAAUUACACCCAUUCCUUGGGGUAACCAGCAGCCAGUGACUAACUGACACGGAUGUACAAGAGACUGGCUCCCUUACCAUGCUCCUGGGCCUGCACUGAGAUGCAGUGUAUGCUGCAGGGCUGCCUGUGGGAUCGUUCUGAAGCUCCUCUCCAGCUGAGACUGCCUCUGCCAGGCUCCUUCUCCUGCCCUGUCCUCCCUUGCUCCCUUCCCCCGAGUGCUACUCCUUUAGUAAACUGUGUACAUCCCAAUCCCUGUAUCAAGCUCUGCCUCUAGGGAAUAUGAUCAGAGACAGUAAGAAAAUCUAAUUUUCUCUGACAUUCUGAUACACAUCACUUAUAAUCUAAAACAUGUAGCAAGCAAGCAUGUUUUACAAACUUCAUAGACGUUAUGGACUCAAGGUUAAAGGUAAUAUGUAUAUAUUUUUUAAGAUUUUACUUUUAAGAUUUUUAAGUAAUCUCUACACCCAGUAUAAGGCUUGAACUCACAACCCUAAGAGCCAGCCAGGUGGCCCUAAAAGUUAUAUUUUUGAAAGUUUUAACGUGUGAUAAAUUGUUAACUGUAUUGGAGAGGUUUUUUUAAAGAUUUUAUUUAUUUUUAAAAGAUUUUUUAAAAUUUAUUCAUGACAGGCACAGAGAGAG